rnacentral:rRNA from 15 species
GCUUACGGCCAUACCACCUUGAACCCGCCCGAUCUCGUCCGAUCUCGGAAGCUAAGCAGGGUCGGGCCUGGUUAGUACUUGGAUGGGAGACCGCCUGGGAAUACCAGGUGCUGUAAGCC